rnacentral:rRNA from 1 species
GUGGGGAAUAUUGGACAAUGGGCGAAAGCCUGAUCCAGCCAUGCCGCGUGUGUGAAGAAGGUCUUCGGAUUGUAAAGCACUUUAAGUUGGGAGGAAGGGCAGUAAGUUAAUACCUUGCUGUUUUGACGUUACCGACAGAAUAAGCACCGGCUAACUUCGUGCCAGCAGCCGCGGUAAUACGAAGGGUGCAAGCGUUAAUCGGAAUUACUGGGCGUAAAGCGCGCGUAGGUGGUUUUGUAAGUUGGAGGUGAAAUCCCCGGGCUCAACCUGGGAACUGCCUCCAAAACUGAAUGACUAGAUUACGGUAGAGGGUAGUGGAAUUUCCUUUGUAGCGGUGAAAUGCGUAGAUAUAGGAAGGAACACCAGUGGCGAAGGCGACUACCUGGACUGAUACUGACACUGAGGUGCGAAAGCGUGGGGAGCAAACAGGAUUAGAAACCCUGGUAGUCC